ACCUGAAGGAGCAAAACAGAGAAGGUAGAAGAAGAAGAGCAGCGAGACCAUAAGAGUAGACGAUGAAAACAUGAUAGCUCAUGCCUUUCAAAGUCGCUGCUUUGAAGAGAGUGUUUAAACCAACGUUUGCACAUUCCAUUAUGACCAGCGCCGUUACUGAUGUGGAGAUUCGAAGAAGUGAGUUUUUUUUUUAACACUAUAUGUAAAGAUGAGAGAAACAGAGUUUGUUCUGUUUAUUUUUUUUGGGGAAAGAAGAAGAAAAGAAGGUGAGUGGGUGAAAGUUAGAUUCAGCAAUUGUAUUGUGUAGUCUACACACACUUGAGAAAGAUGUGAAACGGACAAAAACAAAACAAAAAAAUAGGCCAUGUAACAUGCUGACAUGUUAUAUAUCUAUGUUUUA